rnacentral:rRNA from 1 species
UUCCUACGGGGCGCAGCAGUGAGGAAUAUUGGUCAAUGGGCGAGAGCCUGAACCAGCCAAGUCGCGUGAGGGAGUACUGCCCUAUGGGUUGUAAACCUCUUUUGUCGGGGAGCAAAAGCCGGACGUGUCCGGCUGUGAGAGUACCCGAAGAAAAAGCAUCGGCUAACUCCGUGCCAGCAGCCGCGGUAAUACGGAGGAUGCGAGCGUUAUCCGGAUUUAUUGGGUUUAAAGGGUGCGCAGGCGGCACGGCAAGCCGGCGGUCAAAUCGCGGGGCUCAACCCCGCCCAGCCGUCGGAACGGCCGGG